ACGGCGAGUGAAGCGGCAACAGCUCAAAUUUGAAAGCUGGCCUUCGGGUCCGCAUUGUAAUUUGUAGAGGAUGCUUUGGGGCAGCCGCCUGUCUAAGUUCCUUGGAACAGGACGUCAUAGAGGGUGAGAAUCCCGUAUGUGACAGGACAUGGCACCCUAUGUAAAGCUCCUUCGACGAGUCGAGUUGUUUGGGAAUGCAGCUCUAAAUGGGAGGUAAAUUUCUUCUAAAGCUAAAUACCGGCGAGAGACCGAUAGCGCACAAGUAGAGUGAUCGAAAGAUGAAAAGCACUUUGGAAAGAGAGUUAAAAAGCACGUGAAAUUGUUGAAAGGGAAGCGCUUGCAAUCAGACUUGUUUUGACUGUUCGGCCGGUCUUCUGACCGGUUUACUCAGUCUGGACAGGCCAGCAUCAGUUUUGGCGGCCGGAUAAAGGCUCAGGGAAUGUGGCUCUCACUUCGGUGGGAGUGUUAUAGCCCUGGGUGUAAUACGGCCAGCCGGGACUGAGGUCCGCGCUUCGGCUAGGAUGCUGGCGUAAUGGUUGUAAGCGACC
rnacentral:rRNA from 1 species